UGAGGGUUCGCCAAGUGGUAAAUGGCAUCUGGCUUUGACCCAGACAGCGUGCUUUAUAGCCGAUCGUCGGUUCGAUCCCGACACCCUCAA
rnacentral:tRNA from 1 species